AUGACGGACGGCCACCUAUUCAACAACAUCUCCCUCGGCGGCCGCGUCGGCAACAACCCUGGUCAGUUUAGGCUUUAUUCGGGAGGGCUUGCAUGGAAGAAGCAAGGUGGAGGAAAGACAAUUGAGGUUGAUAAAGCUGAUAUAAUUUCUGUGACGUGGAUGAAAAUCCCCAGAUCUUAUCAGCUUAGUGUUGGGACCAAAGAGGGCAUUCGGUACGUGUUCAAAGGCUUCCGUGAACAGGAUGUUAGUAACCUUACUAACUUCAUACAAAAGAACACGGGAACCACACCAGAGGAGAAGCAGCUCUCUGUUAGUGGCCAUAAUUGGGGCGCGGUUGACAUCAAUGGCAAUAUGCUUAGCUUUAAUGUUGGCUCAAAGGAAGCAUUUGAAGUCUCUCUAUCAGAUGUAUCACAAACUCAGUUGCAAGGAAAAACAGAUGUUGUUCUUGAGUUCCAUGUUGAUGAUACUACAGGGGCUAAUGAGAAAGAUUCGCUGAUGGAUUUAAGUUUUCAUGUACCAACUUCAAAUACUCAAUUCCUUGGUGAUGAGGAACGUCCCUCGGCUCAUAUUUUUUGGCAGAAAAUCUUGGCUAUAGCUGACGUUGGCUCAUCAGAAGAGGCUGUUGUCUCAUUGGAGGGAAUUGCCAUUCUUACCCCAAGAGGUCGAUACACUGUUGAGCUUCAUAUGUCAUUCUUGCGACUCCAAGGACAAGCUAAUGAUUUCAAAAUCCAGUAUAGCAGUAUUCUUCGGCUCUUUGUUUUGCCAAAGUCAAACAACCCUCAUACAUUUGUGGUCAUCACACUUGAUCCGCCAAUUCGCAAAGGACAAACAUUAUAUCCCCACAUUGUUAUUCAGUUUGUGACAGAGAAUGUAGUUGAGAAGGAGCUGUCAUUAAGUGAGGAGGUUUUGGCUGAAAAGUACAAGGACAGGCUGCAGAGUUCUUACAAUGGUCUAGAACAUGAGGUAUUCUCCAAAAUUCUUCGUGGCCUGUCUGGUGCUAAAGUGACGAGGCCAAGCACAUUCCGCAGUUGUCAAGAUGGAUAUGCCGUGAAAUCAUCACUUAAAGCUGAAGAUGGAUUGCUGUAUCCUCUUGAAAAAGGCUUUUUCUUUUUGCCAAAGCCCCCGACACUCAUUCUGCAUGAGGAGAUCGAGUAUGUUGAAUUUGAGCGCCAUGGUGCUGGUGGUGCUAGUAUGUCAUCUCACUAUUUUGAUCUCCUGGUCAAGCUAAAGAAUGACCAAGAACAUCUCUUCAGAAAUAUACAAAGGAAUGAAUACCAUAACCUCUUCAACUUCGUCAGUGGUAAGAAUUUGAAAAUCCUGAAUCUUGGAGAAGAUGGCCAAGAUAGAACUGGUGCAGUUGCGGCUGCUCUUCAGAGCACUGAUGAUGACCCUGUUGAUCCACAUCUGGAGCGAAUUAAAAAUCAGGCCGGUGAUGAAGAAAGUGAUGAAGAGGACGAAGAUUUUGUGGCGGACAAGGACGACAGCGGAUCCCCUAGUGAUGAUUCUGAAGAGGGUUCUGAUGCCAGCAUAAGCGAUGGAGAAAAGGAGAAAUCUUCCAAAAAGGAAGCUAGUAGCUCAAAGCCACCUGCGAAGAGGAAACCAAAGAAUGUGGACGUGGAAGGUUCAGAGAAGAGAAAGCCGAAGAAGAAGCAGAAGAAAGAUCCCAAUGCCCCUAAAAGAGCAAUAGCACCAUUCAUGUAUUUCUCAAAGGCUGAGCGAGCUAAUUUGAAGAACAUCAACCCUGAACUCAGCACCACGGAUAUUGCAAAGAAGCUUGGAGAGAAGUGGCAAAAGAUGUCAGCUGAGGAGAAGCAGCCAUACGUUGAGCAGUCCCAAGUGGAUAAGAAACGCUAUGCAGAGGAGUCUGCUGCCUACCGCGGCGCUGGUGCGGCUCCUGUAGACGUGGACUCUGCAGAUGGAUCGUCCGAUUGA
rnacentral:rRNA from 1 species